rnacentral:rRNA from 1 species
GACGGUACUUGAGGAAUAAGCCACGGCUAAUUCCGUGCCAGCAGCCGCGGUAAUACGGGAGUGGCAAGCGUUAUCCGGAAUUAUUGGGCGUAAAGCGUCCGCAGGCGGCCUUGUAAGUCUGUCGUUAAAGCGUGGAGCUUAACUCCAUUUAAGCGAUGGAAACUACAAGGCUUGAGUGUGGUAGGGGCAGAGGGAAUUCCCGGUGUAGCGGUGAAAUGCGUAGAUAUCGGGAAGAACACCAGUGGCGAAGGCGCUCUGCUGGGCCAUAACUGACGCUCAUGGACGAAAGCCAGGGGAGCGAAAGGGAU